AUCAAAUAAAUAUUUUCAAAUUAUAAGCUACACAAUUUUUUCAUCGAGACAAAUUUCGUUUGAAACAGAUUAAUAAUGUUUCAGAAUCGCUAUUUAAUCCGCAAUUAAACUUUCUGGUAAAUAAAAAAUUGUCGUGUUGACGUAAUCAGUGACAUCAGUUUGAUUGAAUAGGUACAAUCUUUAUUAUGUGCAGCAUACUUUAACGUUAUUAUAUACAAAUUACAAUGUUGUUGGUGAGCGGUGACGGCGACCGUGGAAAAUAAGUUUUUUCCUCCGUAACUAGGUAACGCUAGUUUUGUAGAUUAAUAAUAUGCAAAUUUAUAAUAUCCGUUGUGCUAGUACAUCGGAAGCAAUCAGCUUAGCUCGUUAGAUUGGUGAGUUAGCAUUUUUUCCGCAUAGACUAGGUGAUCCAGUCGCGUUCAUUUAAUCGUCGCUAUGAACGACCCGUGGGAUGUGAAAUCGGUGCGACAGUCCGGACAGUAUGUAUCCUGCAUGAAGAUUAAUGGUGUGCCUCUUCUACCGCCUGUCCUAUCAAAAGAAUGUCGCAAAGAGAUGCAGUACUACAAACUUUUGGCCAAAGAAGUCGAAAAGCGAAUAUCAUUGCUUCAGCCCUAUAUAGCUGAAAGUGAAUCGGAAUCUAGCGAAGACAGGACCGAUGCGCCAGAGAUUCCAGAAUCUGAGGAAAUACAAACUGAAUGCAAAAUAACGAGCGUUUUAAGCGAUGAAGUUUACGAAAAAGCACUUAAAGAAUCACCGAAAGCACAGCCAAAUGUUUGCAAUACGAUAAAUUCUAGUGUCACAGUACUUGAAAGGACGAAAUCACCAAAAUUUAGGAUCGAUUUAAAUCUAAAUAUAAGCGGCACAGCUAAAAAUUUUCUCGAUAAAGACACUGAAACAAUACGUUGUAUUUCGGAACCAGUAGAGCUACCAGAACGGGAUUAUGACUGUAAUAAAGUUAAUGUUAAAAGACAAGCUAUUGAAUUUGAAGAUAUCAAUAACGAUAAAACAGUUGCCAAAUUAAAUUUUAUAAUUGGUUCAGAUAAAAAUGUUGAAGAGCCGUUUCCUGAUUUGCCUUCGGCACAAGACGGACCGCCUUCUCUUAGUUCUAAAAGCUUCACGGGAUCCCUUAACGAUAUACAUACAGAUAGUUUGAAAGAGUCACAAAUAGUACCUAAACUCACCCGUCAAAGAUCGUACACGCUUUUAAAACCGAGUCCGCAACUACUAGCGCAUUUAGAAGUAGAAUCUUUGAACACUGGAGUCGAAAUGAGCUGCAUUUCUAUGAGCGAAUCGUUGUCGAACUUGAGCGCACCAAAUAAAAAACGCAGAAGUUGGGAUUUAGAAACUGCUAAAGUCAAGUGGUCGUCCAUGGCGAUGGAAUUAAAACAAAAGAAUGUAUCAAAAACGUCUAGCCUGAACUGCGUGAACAGAGUCAAUAAUUCAAGAGCUGUGUCCAAGAAACCAUCACAGGUUUCACCUCCGCGUGCUAGAUCUGUGGUUGCAGAAAGACCUGGAAGAAUGAGCUCUAAAUCUUCGCCUAAAUCAGAACCUAUUCAAAAACCAAAAAAAUCACUUAGUCCUGUAAGGAAUAGCGUUAACAUUAAUGCAAUGAAGGAGGCGUCUCCCAAAACAGCAAAACAAAAUGUAGACCCAGUGAAUCAACAACCCCAGCAAUUAAUUUCGGAAUCACAAGAUCCAGCAACAAGAGUAAGGGAACUUUACGAGAAAAUUCAAAAGCAACAAUUACUUCAAAUGGCUAGUUUAGUGGAAAAGCAGAAAAGGGAACAACAAUUGCUUCAACAGGUCUUUGAAGAUCAGAAUAACUUGUUGUACAAGCAACUUAAAAUGAUAAGCCCUAAAUCACCAAUUGAAAUCAAAGAGGAGAGUAAUCAAGAUGUUUCGAAUAAACCAGUUAGUUUAAGUCAGUUGAUCAACCCUAAAUCGCCUGAAAUUAUUUCAUACGAUAGCUCUGUAUCAUCUACUCUUACCGACACAAACAACUACAUCAAUCGUUGCGAAGAUAUAUUAAGACAAAGCAGAGAUAUAACUGGGAGUAUUAAGAAGCAAAAUGGAACAAAAACGCAGUCACCUAGACCUGAUUCGGAAGGUAGUAGAACCAGAACUCACUCUCCAAGUCGCAGGAGUACAUCCAGAAAGCUGAAUUAUGACACUAGCGCGUCGUCUGAUCGCGAUUACGAACAAAUACUGACAGAUCGAACGAACGAUACGAUGGCGGACUUAAACGUCACCUUCCCUUCUGACAACAGCGAAGAAUUCAAUUACAAUAAUACAGUUUUGAAUCACAUGUGCGGCGUGGAAGUAAACGUUACCGCAACUCAUACUCCUAGAUCCAGAGAGGGUGCUAUCAGGAGUAUGGACCAUACUCUUCAAAGUUCGAUGUGCGCAUUACGGAAGCCCAAAUCCAAAAUUAUCAAUAGUCAGCCCACAGCCAGAGAGAGGGCUGCGGCCACGAAGAUUGUUUCGUACGCCAAGGGCUAUCUCGUUCGGCGUCUGAUGAGGACCGAGCGGGUCCGGGGCAUCGUGCAGACGAUCAAGGACGCCCUGCUGUGCGCCCUGCAACUCCACCAGGAGAGGGAGGGCAUCAGGGGAGCGGACGUGGAUCUGCACCGACGGCUCAUACAGCAGAUCACUGCAGCUUGUUACUCGUUACACGACACCUUCAUAACGAGCAGUCCGUCGGAGAGGUGCGCCAUGAUCGCCGCCGAUCGCAAGAGGAAGGCUCUCGCCAACCGCCCCUCGCCCAGGUCCUUCAGACAAACGGACAUCAUGUCGCAAAGCCACACCGGCGCGUUCCCGACUCGCUACAAACGCGCACCCGGAGCGGCGGUCAUGACACAGUCCCACUAUGGUAACACCGACUAAAUGUUGCCAGCUUGAAGCAUUGUGUUGCCAUGUACAGCUUUAUACAAACAAACAAAAAAUAGACGUUUAGCGGCCAGUGCACCCCGGGACCGAGGUGGAGCCCCCGGCGUCGGCCGUGGCGCUGACCCGCCCCGCCGCGGACUUGCAUGCCGCGGCUUUUCGCCCACUGUCUGUCUAAUAAAUACGAUCUAUGAACUGAAAAUUUUUAAUAUUUUAAAAUUUACAAAAUGGCUAAUUUAUGUAAUUUGGUCUAGAAGAUAAAUUAAAUUGGGCUGCCUUAUUAUUAACUAAAUAUAUUUUAAAAUUGCCAGCUUAAGGUAAGUAUUUUGAGUCAGACGCUGGUAACACUGCAGACAUUUUGAACUUUUAUGAC